CGUGGGUAAUCUACCCUAUAGUCUGGGAUAACCUCUCGAAAGGGGGGCUAAUACCGGAUGAUGUCCUCAUGGGGCAUCCCAAGGGGAGCAAAGGGGGCGCCCGCAAGGAGCUCUCGCUAGAGGAGGAACCUGCGUUCGAUUAGCUAGUUGGUGGGGUAACGGCCCACCAAGGCGACGAUCGGUAGCCGGCCUGAGAGGGUGACCGGCCACACUGGGACUGAGACACGGCCCAGACUCCUACGGGAGGCAGCAGUGGGGAAUCUUGCGCAAUGGGCGAAAGCCUGACGCAGCGACGCCGUGUGGGGGACGAAGGCCUUCGGGUUGUAAACCCCUGUCGGGUGGGACGAAUCCCCCGAGGACGAAUACUCCUCGGGGUUGACGGUACCGCCGGAGGAAGCCCCGGCUAACUACGUGCCAGCAGCCGCGGUAAUACGUAGGGGGCGAGCGUUGCUCGGAUUUACUGGGCGUAAAGAGCGCGUAGGCGGCCAGGGAAGUCUGGUGUGAAAUCCCUCGGCUCAACCGAGGACCCGCAUCGGAGACUCCCUGGCUUGAGUCCAGGAGGGGAGGGUGGAAUUCCCGGUGUAGCGGUGAAAUGCGUAGAGAUCGGGAGGAACACCGGUGGCGAGGCGGCCCUCUGGAAAUGGCACUGACGCUGAGGCGCGAAAGCUGGGGGAGCAAACGGGAUUAGAUACCCCGGUAGUCCCAGCCGUAAACGAUGGGCGCUAGGUGUGGGGAGGUAUUGAUCCCUUCCGUGCCGCAGCUAACGCAUUAAGCGCCCCGCCUGGGGAGUACGACCGCAAGGUUGAAACUCAAAGGAAUUGACGGGGGCCCGCACAAGCGGUGGAGCAUGUGGUUUAAUUCGACGCAACGCGAAGAACCUUACCAGGGUUUGACAUGCCGGUAGUACCGACCUGAAAGGGAAGGGAUCCCGCAAGGGAAGCCGGCACAGGUGGUGCAUGGCUGUCGUCAGCUCGUGUCGUGAGAUGUUGGGUUAAGUCCCGCAACGAGCGCAACCCUCACCCUCUGUUGCCAGCGGGUUAUGCCGGGCACUCUGAGGGAACUGCCCCGGUCAACGGGGAGGAAGGCGGGGACGACGUCAAGUCAUCAUGCCCCUUACGCCCUGGGCUACACACGUGCUACAAUGGCCGGCACAGAGGGCUGCAAACCCGCGAGGGGGAGCUAAUCC
rnacentral:rRNA from 1 species